UUGAAGCUUCUCUUUCCAGGGUUUCAAAGACAGAAUGCAGGUUUUCACCUGGCCUGUCCCACCCACUCCCGCAACCAGGUCAGCAGAGAUGUAAGUCUGAUGGCCUGGGUUCAGGGUAGCUCUCCUGCGCCGGGGUGCGGCAUGUCCUUGCUCGUGGGUGUCACUUGGGUGGGUUUCUUCUGCCAGGGAACAGGUUGAGGAGGAUGAGAGAUUCGGUUUCUAUGGAUACUGGGCCGGCUGGAAUUUGCAUAAUGUAGUUCAGAGAACAAACAGUCUGGGAACACAGCGACUGCGGAAGUACAGAGAGCCCCAGGGAAACGAGCUGGAAGAUUCUAGAGAGCCGGGCUCCAAGGUAGCCCUCUUCUAAAAGGGACGCCAAUCCGCUCCUGCUCCGCACAGGAAGCAGCUCGCGGAGCCCUGAGGAAGCACUGUGAUGUGCGGACAGCGCCCCCUACUGGGCGUGCGCGAACUUGGGGCUCAGCCUGCGCGGUGCAGUUGUGCGGCCUCGCGAAUUCAGCCACCUGCUAAGGCGCCCUUCCUUGCGGUACCUGGCCUGGGAACCGCCUGUUUACCCCCAAAGCGUGACGCCUGUGCUAUUAUACUCCUCAUUGCCAGCUGAGCACCAUGCCAGAAGGGCGCAGGAGGACACUGGGCUGGCCGAUCGUUACAAAGCCAGACCUCAAACCCAAGAUUGCUGGUAUUACCAUCCCGAACCCCAAACCACCUGGGGCGCGCAGCGGUACAGGAAGUGCAGCGAGGCAGUUCCCCGCGGGAGGUUCCGACCCCAGGUCAUUUUGCUUUGGGAAGGAGCCAGAAGCCACACAGCACCAGAUCUGGCGCAUAAGGGCCAGGCACACUCGGCAUAGUGGUCUUGUUGAGGCCAUGGGAGUCUGAGCUGUCACAUGGAGAAUAAGCAGAUAAAAGGAGAUGGACAAAAUCCCGGGGAGCAGUGAGCCAUGUAGGAGCGGGCCAAGGAUUUGGGUUAGGCUCAUACAUGAGGAAUGGACAGAAGCAGAACCCAAGGAAGAUGGUAUCACAAACAAAACAAAACAAAAAAACACAACCAAAACCUCAAACAAAACAGUCACCAUGCUGAAGACAGAAAGGAUAAGAGGCCAGAGAUCCAGGUACAUAGAACAUGGGAAACAGUUCUCUGACUCCAGUUUAAAGUGAGAUGCACAGCUUGCAGCCCUUGGCGUGGCUUCUUCCAAAACUAGGGAAGGCAAGAGAAAAAAUAAAAGCAGCCAUCACCCACAAAAAGCAAUACGUGCAGCCAGUCGUGAUGGCACAUUAUAAUCCCAGAACUCUGGGAUACUGAGGCGUGACGAUCACCAGUUUGAGCCUAGCCUGAGACCCUUCGUGACUUAGUAAGACCCUGUGUCCAAUAAGAAUAAAAAGGGACAGAGGAUGUAGCUUUGUGUAGAAGUCCUGGCUUCAAUCCACAGCACAGUCCAAAAAAGAAAAAAAAAAAAGUGAUGUGUACCCAAACUUUUGGCAAAAACUAAGAGGAAUGCCCUGAUCUAUCAAGUCAGUGGUGCUGGAGCUUUAGAGCCCACACAGGGCCCCAGCAACCCCCUAGAAACAUAGAAAGCUUCUGCGUCCUUCCCUCUCUCGUCCUGUCCAGACCCUGAGGGUCAGAUGCUGUUAAGUUUCUGAUGUUAGACUGGGUUCUCUCUCAUUCUUUCUGCAAGUCACCCUUCUUACCUGUAGUUGACCACAGGCGACUAAACUGGUGGAUAAUGGGGGGCUACUGGAGACCUCUUUAGUAGGCUGCUGCCAGCACCCAGAAGGGAGCACUAGCAUUCUUCCUAAGAAGUAAUCUGCAUUUGAACAGGGAGGGGAAUAAAACAAAAAGGAAAGUGAGAUCAAACAGACCUGCAAGAACCUGAGAAGGUAAAGUAACAGUAAAGUCCGCAGAGGAGACGUCAGCAUUUUCAUUUUUGUGCCAGUAACCUGGUGUUUCUCAUCAGCACCAUUUUUAAUCACUGUAGCUUUGUAAUAUAAUUUGAAGUCUGGAAUUGUGAUGCCCCCUGCUUUGCUCUUUUUGCCCAGGAUUGCUUUUAGGUGUCUUCUGGUUCCCUAUGAAUUUUAGGUUUGUUUUCUCUAGUUCUGUGAAAAAUGCUGCUUGUAUUUCACUGGUAUUGCAUUAAAUCUGUGUAUCAGUUUUGGAAGUACGCCCAUUUGGAUAAUAUUAGCUCUGUCUACCCAGGAAUAGGGGACAUCUUUCUGUCUUCUGCUGUGCCCUUCAACCUCCUUUCUUCAGAGGUCAUUUUAGAAUGAAAAUUCUCACUUCUGUGGUUAGGUUAAUUUCUCAGUAUUUAAUUUUCCUUGAUUCUUUUAUGAAUGGUGUUAUUUUCCUAAUUUCUCAGUGAGUUCAUUAUUGGUAUAUUGAAGAAAUGGGUGUAGGUAAAGACCUUUUGAACAGAAAACCUUUGUCCACAGGAAAUAACCCCAAGAAUCAACAAAUGGGAUCAGAUCAAAUUGAAAAGCUUCUGUACAGCAAAGGAAACAACCAAUUAACAGACAACCUAUAGAAUGGAAACACAUUUUGCAAACUACAUCUUAGAGGACUAAUAUCUAGAAAAUAUAAAGAACUCAAAAAAAUUAGAGCCUCCAAAUAAAAGACCCAAUCAAAAAAUAGACAAAGGAACAGACACUUCUCAGAAGUACAAAUGCCCGCUAAACACAUUAAAAAUAUUCAACAUCUCUGGCCAUUAGAAAAUGGUAAAACAGCACUGAGAUGCCAUCUUUCUCCAACAAGAAUGACCAUCAGCAAGAAGUCAAACAACAACAAAUGCUGGUGAGGCUGUGGGGAAAGGAAAUUCUUCUGCGCUGUUGAUGGAAUGUAAAUUAGCACAGCCACUAUGGAAAUCAGCAUGGAGAUUCCUCAAACACUAAAAUAGAAAUUUGGUUCAGCUUUCAGCCUCUGGAUAUCUUCCUGAAGGAGUUAGAAUCAAGAGUUUUACAGUGACACACACGUGCCCAUGUUUAAACCUAUAGUAGCCUAUAGUAGCUAAAUCUUGGAGGCAGCCUUUAUAGCCACCUAGAAAUGCAUGGGUAAAGAGAAUGUGGCAUUUACAUGUGUUGGCAUAGAGACAGCUAAGCCUGGUCAUGGAUAGGAAAAUGAAUGCACCUGGAGACCUUAACGUUAAAUGAAAUAAACCAGACAGACAAGCUUAAUAUUGUAUGGUUCUUUUUAUAUGAGAAACUUAAAAUAUAAAUAAAGAGCAGAAAAGAAGAUAGAUAAUACGAAAUAAGGAGAUAGAUCUUUGGAAAAGUGAUAGAAGGAGGGUGAGGUCAUGGAGAGGAAGGGGAUAAAAAAGAAUUAAGAUGCAUUAUGUACAUGUACCAACUCCACACAAGGAAUGCAGUCACCACACACUGAAAACAUACUCAUAAAUAAAAUAAGAUGUCAAGAACAGAAUUGCAAUGGGGUGGAGAAAAAUUGAGAAAGAAAUGCAGAAAACAGAUUUGACAUUAUUGUCAAAAGAUGAGAGAGGAACUAAAAAUAAUAAACAAGAGAUGGGAGACAAAAUAAGAAUGUAUCUUACAAAUUACAGGAAAAAAAUCAGAACAAAUGGGAACUCGAAUGAUAGAUACAAUUAGCAACUGAAAGUGCUUAUCAAUUCUAAACCAAUUCACAGCAAAUAUUUUGAGUUACAGAAUACAAAAUAAGCUCUACUAACAUUUAAGAUUAAAAUGCAAAACACAAAGUUGGAUGUUUACAAAGGAAUAAAAAUUAAUUUGGGUUAUUGAAAGAAAAAUUAUGAAAAAACUGGCAUAAAAUCUUGAACAAAGACUGAAUCAUGUAGAAAUUUACACUCAGUCAAGUUGUGUUAAGGUAAAAACAAAUGUCAUUUCAAAAAUGUAAAAACAUACUAUCAAUGAAUUCUGCUUGGAAUAAAUUGAAUGACUCUG